AGCGAACGCUGGCGGCAGGCCUAACACAUGCAAGUCGAACGAACCUUUCGGGGUUAGUGGCGGACGGGUGAGUAACACGUGGGAACGUGCCUUUAGGUUCGGAAUAACUCAGGGAAACUUGUGCUAAUACCGAAUGUGCCCUUCGGGGGAAAGAUUUAUCGCCUUUAGAGCGGCCCGCGUCUGAUUAGCUAGUUGGUUGAGGUAAUGGCUCACCAAGGCGACGAUCAGUAGCUGGUUUGAGAGGAUGAUCAGCCACAUUGGGACUGAGACACGGCCCAAACUCCUACGGGAGGCAGCAGUGGGGAAUCUAGCGCAAUGGGCGAAAGCCUGACGCAGCCAUGCCGCGUGAAUGAUGAAGGUCUUAGGAUUGUAAAAUUCUUUCACCGGGGACGAUAAUGACGGUACCCGGAGAAGAAGCCCCGGCUAACUUCGUG
rnacentral:rRNA from 1 species